rnacentral:rRNA from 1 species
AUACGGAGGGUGCAAGCGUUAUCCGGAUUUAUUGGGUUUAAAGGGUCCGUAGGCGGGCUAGUAAGUCAGUGGUGAAAGCCUUCAGCUUAACUGGAGAACUGCCAUUGAUACUGCUAGUCUUGAGUUCGGUUGAAGUGGGCGGAAUAUGUGGUGUAGCGGUGAAAUGCAUAGAUAUCACAUAGAACACCUAUUGCGAAGGCAGCUCACUAAGCCGAUACUGACGCUCAGGGACGAAAGCGUGGGGAGCGAACAGGAUUAGAUACCCUGGUAGUCCACGCUGUAAACGAUGAUAACUCGCUGUUGGCGAUAUACUGUCAGCGGCCAAGCGAAAGCGUUAAGUUAUCCAACCUGGGGAGUACGAUCGCAAGGUUGAAACUCAAAGGAAUUGACGGGGCCCGCACAAGCGGUGGAGCUUGUGGUUUAAUUCGAUGAUACGCGAGGAACCUUACCUGGGCUUAAAUGCAGAUUGACAGACUGGGAAACCA